UACGAACGCUGGCGGCGUGCUUAACACAUGCAAGUCGAACGGAAAGGCCUCUUUCGGGGGGUACUCGAGUGGCGAACGGGUGAGUAACACGUGAGUAACCUGCCCUUGACUUUGGGAUAACUUCAGGAAACUGGGGCUAAUACCGGAUAGGAGCUCCUGCUGCAUGGUGGGGGUUGGAAAGUUUCGGCGGUUGGGGAUGGACUCGCGGCUUAUCAGCUUGUUGGUGGGGUAGUGGCUUACCAAGGCUUUGACGGGUAGCCGGCCUGAGAGGGUGACCGGCCACAUUGGGACUGAGAUACGGCCCAGACUCCUACGGGAGGCAGCAGUGGGGAAUAUUGCACAAUGGGUGGAAGCCUGAUGCAGCAACGCCGUGUGCGGGAUGACGGCCUUCGGGUUGUAAACCGCUUUCGCUCAUGACGAAGCUUUGUGUGACGGUAGUGGGUAAAGAAGCACCGGCUAACUACGUG
rnacentral:rRNA from 1 species